rnacentral:rRNA from 1 species
UAAUACGUAGGGUGCGAGCGUUAAUCGGAAUUACUGGGCGUAAAGCGUGCGCAGGCGGUUUUGUAAGACAGGCGUGAAAUCCCCGGGCUCAACCUGGGAAUGGCGCUUGUGACUGCAAGGCUAGAGUACGGCAGAGGGGGGUAGAAUUCCACGUGUAGCAGUGAAAUGCGUAGAGAUGUGGAGGAAUACCGAUGGCGAAGGCAGCCCCCUGGGUCGAUACUGACGCUCAUGCACGAAAGCGUGGGGAGCAAACAGGAUUAGAUACCCUGGUAGUCCACGCCCUAAACGAUGUCAACUAGGUGUUGGUAGGGUAAAACCUAUUAGUACCGUAGCUAACGCGUGAAGUUGACCGCCUGGGGAGUACGGCCGCAAGGUUA